rnacentral:rRNA from 1 species
GGAAACGGUUCAUACUUAAUAGUGAUUACUUUUUGACUGAACAUUAAACCGAUUUGUUUUCUGAUGCUCUUUACCGGGUA